rnacentral:rRNA from 1 species
CUCAGGAUGAACGCUAGCUACAGGCUUAACACAUGCAAGUCGAGGGGCAUCAGGAAGAAAGCUUGCUUUCUUUGCUGGCGACCGGCGCACGGGUGAGUAACACGUAUCCAACCUGCCCUUUACUCGGGGAUAGCCUUUCGAAAGAAAGAUUAAUACCCGAUGGCAUAAUGAUUCCGCAUGGUUUCAUUAUUAAAGGAUUCCGGUAAAGGAUGGGGAUGCGUUCCAUUAGGUUGUUGGUGAGGUAACGGCCCACCAAGCCUUCGAUGGAUAGGGGUUCUGAGAGGAAGGUCCCCCACAUUGGAACUGAGACACGGUCCAAACUCCUACGGGAGGCAGCAGUGAGGAAUAUUGGUCAAUGGGCGGUAGCCUGAACCAGCCAAGUAGCGUGAAGGAUGAAGGCUCUAUGGGUCGUAAACUUCUUUUAUAUAAGAAUAAAGUGCAGUAUGUAUACUGUUUUGUAUGUAUUAUAUGAAUAAGGAUCGGCUAACUCCGUGCCAGCAGCCGCGGUAAUACGGAGGAUCCGAGCGUUAUCCGGAUUUAUUGGGUUUAAAGGGAGCGUAGGUGGACUGGUAAGUCAGUUGUGAAAGUUUGCGGCUCAACCGUAAAAUUGCAGUUGAUACUGUCAGUCUUGAGUACAGUAGAGGUGGGCGGAAUUCGUGGUGUAGCGGUGAAAUGCUUAGAUAUCACGAAGAACUCCGAUUGCGAAGGCAGCUCACUGGACUGCAACUGACACUGAUGCUCGAAAGUGUGGGUAUCAAACAGGAUUAGAUACCCUGGUAGUCCACACAGUAAACGAUGAAUACUCGCUGUUUGCGAUAUACAGUAAGCGGCCAAGCGAAAGCAUUAAGUAUUCCACCUGGGGAGUACGCCGGCAACGGUGAAACUCAAAGGAAUUGACGGGGGCCCGCACAAGCGGAGGAACAUGUGGUUUAAUUCGAUGAUACGCGAGGAACCUUACCCGGGCUUAAAUUGCAGUGGAAUGAUGUGGAAACAUGUCAGUGAGCAAUCACCGCUGUGAAGGUGCUGCAUGGUUGUCGUCAGCUCGUGCCGUGAGGUGUCGGCUUAAGUGCCAUAACGAGCGCAACCCUUAUCUUCAGUUACUAACAGGUCAUGCUGAGGACUCUGGAGAGACUGCCGUCGUAAGAUGUGAGGAAGGUGGGGAUGACGUCAAAUCAGCACGGCCCUUACGUCCGGGGCUACACACGUGUUACAAUGGGGGGUACAGAAGGCAGCUAGCGGGUGACCGUAUGCUAAUCCCAAAAGCCUCUCUCAGUUCGGAUCGAAGUCUGCAACCCGACUUCGUGAAGCUGGAUUCGCUAGUAAUCGCGCAUCAGCCACGGCGCGGUGAAUACGUUCCCGGGCCUUGUACACACCGCCCGUCAAGCCAUGGGAGCCGGGGGUACCUGAAGUACGUAACCGCAAGGAUCGUCCUAGGGUAAAAC